UGCAUUCACUACAGUAAGUUGCUCUGGAUAAGAGCGUCUGCUAAAUGACUAAAA
rfam:Salmo salar isolate Sally breed double haploid chromosome ssa10, whole genome shotgun sequence.